AGCGAACGCUGGCGGCAGGCUUAACACAUGCAAGUCGAGCGCCCCGCAAGGGGAGCGGCAGACGGGAGAGUAACACGUGGGAACAUACCUUUUGGUUCGGAACAACUGAGGGAAACUUCAGCUAAUACCGGAUAAGCCCUUACGGGGAAAGAUUUAUCGCCGAAAGAUUGGCCCGCGUCUGAUUAGCUAGUUGGUGAGGUAACGGCUCACCAAGGCGACGAUCAGUAGCUGGUCUGAGAGGAUGAUCAGCCUCACUGGGACUGAGACACGGCCCAGACUCCUACGGGAGGCAGCAGUGGGGAAUAUUGGACAAUGGGGGCAACCCUGAUCCAGCCAUGCCGCGUGAGUGAUGAAGGCUUUAGGGUUGUAAAGCUCUUUUGCCCGGGAAGAUAAUGACGGUACCGGGAGAAUAAGCCCCGGCUAACUUCGUG
rnacentral:rRNA from 1 species